GAUGAACGCUGGCGGCGUGCCUAAUACAUGCAAGUCGAGCGAACAGACGAGAAGCUUGCUCCUCUGACGUUAGCGGCGGACGGGUGAGUAACACGUGGAUAACCUACCUAUAAGACUGGGAUAACUUCGGGAAACCGGAGCUAAUACCGGAUAAUAUUUUGAACCGCAUGGUUCAAAAGUGAAAGACGGUCUUGCUGUCACUUAUAGAUGGAUCCGCGCUGCAUUAGCUAGUUGGUAAGGUAACGGCUUACCAAGGCAACGAUGCAUAGCCGACCUGAGAGGGUGAUCGGCCACACUGGAACUGAGACACGGUCCAGACUCCUACGGGAGGCAGCAGUAGGGAAUCUUCCGCAAUGGGCGAAAGCCUGACGGAGCAACGCCGCGUGAGUGAUGAAGGUCUUCGGAUCGUAAAACUCUGUUAUUAGGGAAGAACAUAUGUGUAAGUAACUGUGCACAUCUUGACGGUACCUAAUCAGAAAGCCACGGCUAACUACGUG
rnacentral:rRNA from 1 species